GAUGAACGCUAGCGGCAGGCUUAAUACAUGCAAGUCGUGGGGCAGCAUGAGUAGCAAUACUUGAUGGCGACCGGCAAACGGGUGAGGAACACGUACACAACCUUCCUUCAAGCGGGGAAUAGCCCAGAGAAAUUUGGAUUAAUACCCCAUAAUAUAUUUGAUAAGGCAUCUUAUUAAUAUUAAAGCUUCGGCACUUGAUGAUGGGUGUGCGGCUGAUUAGAUAGUUGGCGGGGUAACGGCCCACCAAGUCUACGAUCAGUAGCUGAUGUGAGAGCAUGAUCAGCCACACGGGCACUGAGACACGGGCCCGACUCCUACGGGAGGCAGCAGUAAGGAAUAUUGGACAAUGGACGAAAGUCUGAUCCAGCCAUGCCGCGUGAAGGAUUAAGGUCCUCUGGAUUGUAAACUUCUUUUAUAUGGGACAAAAAGGGCAUUCUUGUUCACUUGACGGUACCAUAUGAAUAAGCACCGGCUAACUCCGUGCCAG
rnacentral:rRNA from 1 species